rfam:Homo sapiens chromosome 7, GRCh38 reference primary assembly.
GCUGGGCAUAGUGGUGUGUGCCUGUAGUCCCAGCUACUUGGGAGGCUGAAGUGGGAGGAUUGAUUGAGCCCAGGAGGUCGAGGCUGCAGUGAGCUAUGAUGGCACCACUGCACUCCAGCCUGAGCAACAGAGCAAGACCCUGUCUCAA